CAGAGCUACCAGCACACACAGGAGCCUGGCUUCCUUCUUGGGACAGAUCUAACUAGCUGAAGUGUGUGGAGAAGGGAAAUUCUGUGCCUUCAGGACCUAAACCUUGAAAAGCCAUGACUGAGAACCACCUUAGACUGGAAACGAACCGAGCUCAAGCCUGCUGAGCAGCUAAAAGCAGUGUGCAGGGCUAGCCCUAGGCAGACAGCCUCUACUUUUAUGGCCUGCAAACAAGGAGGACAACUGGAAAAGUGGGAAGUUUGAAAUCCAGGAAUCAUAGUCGAUGGCAGGAUCACAGAAGUCUCUUCUCUUAUUUCCCUGUGUGACUCUCGGGAUGGAGCACAAAAGAGCAAAGUUUGAAAGGGUGGAGAGCCUGAGGAAUCACCUUCAACCUUGCCACCAUCAGUCAAAAGGAAACCAUAGCACCAACCCCCAGAGCCCUGGCUAGGUGAAGAUUUAUCAGAUCAAUCUAGCCUUCCUCAACAAGCAGAAUGUGCUCCUGUGGCUUCGCACUUCCCCACAGCCUCUGCAGAGACACCCAGAGAAGGAGCAUUGGCAUCAAGAUCAUUACGGAAUUAUGAGACCCAUCGAAACAUCAUUAGGGCCACUGUGGAAAAAUCAAUCUUCCCUGGCUAGAACUGAAUUGCAUAGCCAUAGGACCCCACUUCAUUUUCCUAAUGCCUGCUCCUCAGAAACUAGCAGGGUGCUGUUCCCUGAUCUUGAACCCUAAACACUAUCUUCUUAGUGCCUGCCUCUGGAGAACCACUGUGACACUUGCUAAAACAAAAGGGGAUUCAUUGACUCAUAUCAUUGGCAAGUCCUCAGGUAGAGUUUUGAGUUUGCAGCAGAGGUAGAUUCAGAGCUCCGACGAGGGUGACCAACAAGGACACGGGACUUUCAGGGCUAACAUCAGGGAUGUCCCAGGAAACCUAGGACGAGAAGUCACUCUUGCUCCAGUGUUCAAGCAGGUCUUGAUGUCUUUUUAUUUCUUGACUCUGCUUUCAGCUAGGUUGGAGAAUUCAGUCUUAGGCUUUGCACAUGGCAUUAGGUCAGCAGCUCCAGAACCUAUAUUCUCUCAGGUUGGAGGCCUGCAUGAAGGGAGCUAGUUUACUUCCCUUGUGGUGCCAAAGGAUCGGAUCGAGACUUACUGGCUGUCAUUGGCCUGUUUGAGUCAUGUGCCAAUUCUUUUUUUUUUAGUUUAGUUUUUUUUAAUUGAGACAUAAUUCACAUACUAUAAAAUUCACACUUUUAAAGUAGGCAAUCCAGUGUUCUUUAUAUUCACAAUGUUGUACAAUUAUCGCUGAUUCCAAAACAUUUAUUUACCUCAAAGAGAAAUCCCAUACCUAUCAGCAGCCCCUCUUCCUCCCUGUUCCUCUAGUCCCUAGGAACCACUAAGCUACUUUCCCUGCUCUAUAGAUUUGCCUAUUCUGGAUAUUUCACAUAAAUGCAAUCACUUAACAUAUGGCCUUUUAUAACUGUCUUCUUUCACUUAGCAUAAUGUUUUCAAGGUUCAUCCAUGUUGUAGCAUGAAUCAGUACUUUGUUCCUUUUUAUGGCUGAAUAAUAUUCCCAUGAUAUGUCUAUACCAAUAUCUUGUUCAUCUGUUUGUCAGAUGAUGGACACUUAGGUUGUUUCCAUUUUUGACUGUUAGGAAUAAGCUGCUAUGAACAUUUGUGUACAAGUUUUUGUUUGAGCGUUUGCUUUCAAUUCCCUUGGGUAUUUAAGAGUGGAGUUGCUGGGCUGAACGGUAAUUCUUUGUAUGUCCCCAUUUUUUAUUCAAACACUGUGGCCUGAAGGAUGGAAUGGUCUGAUUGGUUUAAACUUAAGUCAUGUGCUCUACUUCUGGUGCUGAUGGUGGAGUCAGUUUCACUAGAACCACAUAUACCAAGAAGAAAAAAAUGAUUCACCAGAAGGAAAUCGGGUACAGUUAUCAGAUGGAGGGUGAAUGGACUCUAGGGAGCAAAUCCACAGAUGACCACUGCAAAUAGCUACGUUUAUUGAAUGCUUGCUGUGAGCCAGACACAGUGCUAAAUACAUGCAUUAUUUCAUUUAACCUUCACAGCAACCUCUUGAGGAUUCUAUUAUUCCUAUUUUACAGAUAAGGAAAUUGAGAUUAAGAAAAGUUGAAUGAAUUGCCCAAGUGUGUAUAGCUGGGAGGUGAAAAUUUGAACCCAGGUCCGACUGCAAAGCAAAGUGUCAGAAAAAAAAGAUUCCAAGUUAUGUUAAAAUUUAUCUGCUGAGGCUCUUGUAUGUCAUUUGCCCAACAUUAUAAUCAUUGGAGAAGAGUCUGUGUAACCAAAAUUUCCUUUCACAUCAAGGACAGGAACAGGUUUUUAUAAUGAAAAAAAUCAUAGUUGACAUUUUUUUCCUUUCCAAGUAAGCAUUCAGUUUUGUCAGAUAGCACAUCAUUGGCAUUGAGAUUAAGCUGCUCUAUUUCUCAGAAAGCCUCCAUGCUUCUUGUAACCACCCAUCUUUUACUAAUAGGUUUAGCAGAAAUUCAACUAAAUUCUUCUUGUCAUGAGAUUAGGAAAUGCAGAACUCCACAUCAUGCUCUUAACCUCCUUCAGAUAUGAUUUACAAGAGCUUUUAUCUCAGACUCUUCUGUGGUCCUCACAGAGAUCUAGAGCCAGGGAUCACUGACUCCCUACUCAGGGAGACCAGAGCCCGGAUGGUGUCAGAUGAAUGGGACAGGAGAUAAGGGGUGGCCAAAGAGUUGAGGGGGAUAAGGCGAUGCAUUUCAUUGUCGCCCCACCCUCUGCCAAUUACAAAAGGCCAGCCUUUGGAAUAUCACAGCAGGAUAACUUCACAUUAAACUGAUACUUUAUUAAGCUUCAUAUUAAGCUGUACACUUACAGCACCACACUGACUCCUCUUGAGAGGUCCCUCCUCCUCCUCCCCAAUACACACAUCCCCAUCAGGAAACUUGUUUCCUAAGUCCUUUAAAGAUUUACUGCCAGUACCACAGACAAAUUAGUGAAUACCCCAGCAGUUGAUUCCAAAGACAGGAUGCUCAUUUGCAUGAGGAGUUGCAUGUCAUUUGCAUUAUAUUUGCAAGUUCUUUGCAUAUCACAUCUACCCUGUCAAAAUGUACAUAAAUCCUUUAUACUUUCACUUUUUUAUUUUCUAAAAAAAGACUACGCCUCCACAUCCUGCCCAGACUGUCUGGUGAAAUUGCUAGUUGAGAAUUCCUAGUUUGUGAAGAGCCUCACAUGCCAUGUGGAGGAGACUUCAACCCAUAGAGAAUCCCCAAGGAUAUCAGAACCCAGUUUGAGACACUUCAUUCGUUCAUUUAAUCAUCAAAUCUGUACUGACCAUCUACAAUAUGCCAGGCACUGUUUUAGAUGCUUUGGAUAUAUCUGUAAAUGCUGACAUAAAAAUAGGUACAGCAUUAAAAAUUAAAUGCUAUCAUUUCAGAAAAUGACUUGGCACCAACCCAAUCAAUAAAUAUGAGUGCAAACCAGUACCAAAAUCUCAAAGUAGUUGGUUAUAAGGUGGUCAUCUGGAUAUUAUAGACUCUGCUUACAUUAAAAAAAAUUAAUCCUGAAAUUAAAUAAUAUCUUUCUUGAAGAGUACUUAAGACCCCCUCAGUGUGGGUCCCCAGGGGCUCAUGAACCCCAGGUUUGAGAUACACCGAUUGGGGAGCCAGUAAAGGAUUUAACCAGGGAAAUGACCUGGGUUGUAUCUUAGAAAGCUCACUCUAGCAUCUAAGUGAAGGGUGGGCUGGAAGCAGCUCAAGGCCAGAGGCUGGGAGAUCAGAGAGGCUUAGUUAGUCCUGGGUGUGACUCAGGUGUGGGGCUGUUCACAUUUCCAGCCCCAUAAAAUUGUGGCACCCUCACUGAUGUCCAUCCAAAACUGUAUCACACUACGUACAUGGUGGUUUCAGAAAUUUGCAAUAAACAUUUGUACAGCUACAGGGGAGGGGUCACAAUACACAUAGUUUCACUUGAAAACUCCACUCUAGACAUGUCUAUUCAAAUUUUCUUAGGCAGCCAUAAGUGGUAGUCCUUCUCAACUUUUCCAUCAUCCAGCUCUCAACUGACUCUAGACUCUCUCUUCCUGAUCUUUUAAAUUAUGGAAUUCCAAAUUCAUCACCUCUUUAUUUUCUGGAACAACUCAGCUUCUAUUCCAAACUCUCAGGGAAUAUGGGAAAACAAAGGGCCCUUCAGUUCAAAACCUACCCUACAGGAGGUUAUAAGUAACUUUUUGUAAAAGUCUGUCUUAAAAAAAAAACUGGUAAGGACCUUACCAUGAGCAAAAGCUCUGUAAUGGAGAGAAGAGACAGAGACAUGAGAGAGAGAGAAUCAGGACUGCAGUGGGGAGAGGAAGCCCAUACAAAUACAAAGUUUCAAGGGCUAGGCCACAAACAGCCCUCACCAGGUCUUGGUCACGCAGUUAUGGUGGGUCAGUGAAUUAGAUGCUCAGAGGUAGCCAAACAGCAUCUGGUUAAAAACCCAGGGUUAACACCAAUCUACAAAGAGGAGAAAUGUAAUGAAUGGGAGCCCAAGGAAAAGUGACAGAGAGAAUGAAUAGCAGAAAACAAUAGUUUCAAGCAAAGAGAGAUGGGGAGGGGAAUGUAAAAAAAAAAGAGGGAUCCAGAGAUGUAAAACAUAACAGAGGUCAAAUACAAGGAAAACUGGAGAGAAUUCAUUGGAUCUAGCAAUUAAGGUGACCUUCUAAGAGCAGUUUUAGUGAGAUCAACGCUGUUGAUUACUUACCCAAAAGCUAUUUGCUUACUCUUCUUCCUUAAUGUAAGGAUUUCUCCCAUUACAGGAGCUCAAUAAUGCCAGAUGUUUUAUUAAUAUCCCUUCCCCUACCCUAAGGGUUGGCCAGUGACCUAGUUCUGGACAAUGGGACUUGGGAGUCGAACUUUCUGGAAAAGAUUCUCCCCCUCAAUACAAAAAAAUAACUUCAACCCCUUUCUUUUCGGCUUUGGAAGUUGUGUUGUGAGCCCAUGCUGUUCAGAGCUGUGGCAGCUAUCUUAGGACCCUGAGGAUGGCAAAUGAGAAAUCCCUAGAUCCUUGAUGACACUACUAAGUGGCUAAAUCAACCAAACUAGAAGCAAAUUACCUCUGGACUUAUUGUUAUAUGAGAUAAAUAAAAGCCAUUACUGUUUAAAUCA